rnacentral:misc_RNA from 1 species
GGCUUAACAAGAUAAUCAGAAGCACCUCUCAACAUGCAUUUAUAAACCGUACUAAUUGAAUCCUGUGAGGACAUCAUUAUAACUGGUAUACUUUUGCAAUUCUCAUGCUCCAUAAUUAGAGUAAGAAGGGCAUAUCCUGAUAUUGAAGGUAAAUCCACUUCUGUCAAAAUGAGGUCUAUAUUAUGGGGUCUUCCUUUCAGCAUCUCCCCCGCCUUUAAGCCAUCGGGAACAGCCACAACUUUGUAGCUACAUUUCCU